rnacentral:rRNA from 1 species
CUGGCCCAGAUCGUUUACCGUGAAAAAAUUAGAGUGUUCAAAGCAGGCAGAUCCAAUUUUCUGCCACCGAAUACAUUAGCAUGGGAUAAUGGAAUAGGACCCUGUCCUCCUAUUUUCAGUUGGUUUUGGCAGCGCGAGGACUAGGGUAAUGAUUAAUAGGGAUAGUUGGGGGCAUUAAUAUUUAAUUGUCAGAGGUGAAAUUCUUGGAUUUAUGAAAGAUUAACUUCUGCGAAAGCAUCUGCCAAGGAUGUUUUCAUUAAUCAAGAACGAAAGUUAGGGGAUCGAAGACGAUCAGAUACCGUCGUAGUCUUAACCAUAAACGAUGCCGACCAGCGAUUAGGAGACGUUGAAUACAAAACACCACCAUCGGCGCGGUCGUCCUUGGCGUCGGUCCUUCGGGGCCGGCGCGAGGGCGGCUAGCC